ACUUCCUUUUAAAGGUGGAAUUGGCUUGUUUGAGGGCUUAAGUUUAAAUUUAUAUUAUUCUUUGUCUAGGGACACCAGUUGAAGCAGAAACCUAAUCAUGCAUUGUGGAGAAUUAUUCUUGAUACUCUGUGUUCUCAUUGUUAAAAGUGCCUCAAAGAAUUGCAUUCACCGCCCACAAAUUCACACGAUAGAGGGGGAGCCUUUUUAUCUGAAGCCUUGUGGCGUAUCGUCAUCCGUGCACAAGAAUGGAACAGCCACUAUACGAUGGUUCAAAGGCAACGCUUCACAUGGAUACAGAGAGCUGAACACUGAGAGCUCACCCAGAAUUACUUUGAAUAGUUAUGAUUUGGAAUUCUG
rnacentral:lncRNA from 1 species